rnacentral:rRNA from 1 species
UAGGGAAUCUUCGGCAAUGGGGGCAACCCUGACCGAGCAACGCCGCGUGAGUGAAGAAGGUUUUCGGAUCGUAAAGCUCUGUUGUAAGAGAAGAACGUGUGUGAGAGUGGAAAGUUCACACAGUGACGGUAACUUACCAGAAAGGGACGGCUAACUACGUGCCAGCAGCCGCGGUAAUACGUAGGUCCCGAGCGUUGUCCGGAUUUAUUGGGCGUAAAGCGAGCGCAGGCGGUUUAAUAAGUCUGAAGUUAAAGGCAGUGGCUUAACCAUUGUUCGCUUUGGAAACUGUUAAGCUUGAGUGCAGAAGGGGAGAGUGGAAUUCCCUGUGUAGCGGUGAAAUGCGUAGAUAUAUGGAGGAACACCGGUGGCGAAAGCGGCUCUCUGGUCUGUAACUGACGCUGAGGGUCGAAAGCGUGGGGAGCAAACAGG